AUUUUCUACUUUGUACCAACAAACGCCGUCACCAACUCACUGCUACCUGAAAUCUCUCACUCUCUUUCUCUCUCUUCCCCAACUUCGUCUCCGAAACUCGAGAUUGAUUCAUAUUAGAGAGAGAAAAUCAGAGGGGAGAGAUCGAAAUUUCCGUCUCUUUCGAACGAAUUCAUUCUUCGAUCAUACCGGAAAUUUCUGCAAUCUCCGAUCUCGAUUUCUAGGGUUCCGGAGAUUCCAUUUUUGUACCUUUUUUUUUUCCGAUUCUUUGAUUUCAAUAUUAUUUUCGGAUUUUAAUGGCGUCGGAAGAUGUGAAGACGAGUGAAGCAGCUGUUUCGACGAUUGUAAACUUGGCGGAAGAAGCGAAGAUUGCUAGAGAAGGUGUUAAGGCUCCUGGUUAUGCUAUUCUUACCAUUUGCAAGUCUCUCGUUGCUGGUGGUGUUGCCGGCGGAGUGUCACGAACUGCUGUUGCUCCCUUAGAACGCCUAAAAAUAUUGCUCCAGGUUCAAAAUCCACAUAGCAUUAAAUACAACGGAACCGUUCAAGGGUUGAAAUAUAUAUGGCAGAGUGAGGGAUUACGAGGAUUGUUCAAGGGUAAUGGAACAAAUUGUGCACGUAUUGUGCCAAAUUCCGCAGUCAAGUUUUUCAGCUAUGAGCAAGCAUCUAAGGGCAUAUUAUGGCUGCAUCGACAACAGAGUGGCAAUGCGGACGCUGAACUCACUCCUUUAUUGCGCCUUGGGGCCGGAGCGACUGCUGGCAUCAUAGCAAUGUCUGCAACUUACCCUAUGGACAUGGUGCGGGGCAGGAUUACUGUACAGACUGAUAAGUCACCUUACCAGUACAGAGGCAUGAUCCAUGCACUGUCCACCAUUCUUCGUGAGGAAGGUCCAAGAGCUUUAUACAAGGGUUGGCUUCCCUCUGUUAUUGGAGUUAUUCCGUAUGUUGGCCUCAAUUUUGCCGUGUAUGAGUCAUUAAAGGAAUGGUUGGUGAAAGCUAGGCCAUUUGGAUUAGUCCAAGAUAGUGAGUUGAGCGUGACAACAAGGCUUGGAUGUGGUGCCGUGGCGGGGACUAUUGGCCAAACCGUUGCUUACCCUCUCGACGUUAUUCGCAGAAGGAUGCAAAUGGUGGGGUGGAACAAUGCUUCAUCUAUAGUCACUGGUGACGGGAGGGGCAAGGUCCCAUUGCAGUAUAAUGGCAUGAUUGAUACAUUUAGAAAGACAGUUAGACAUGAGGGUUUCGGAGCUCUGUACAAAGGCCUGGUCCCUAAUUCAGUAAAGGUUGUGCCAUCUAUAUCAAUAGCAUUUGUGACAUAUGAGGUGGUGAAAGACAUCUUGGGAGUUGAAAUGAGAAUAUCAGACUGAAGUUGCUGAUUCGGGCUCUUAAACUCUGAUAUAUUUUUUCUUCUUUUGGUAGGCAAUUGGAAGAAAUAGAUUUCUAAGAGACAUUUCUGUUGGAUGUUUACGUCUGCUAUACCGUCCCUUGUAUAUUGCAUAGACCAUCUCCUGCUUGAUUUUUUGUGCUUGGAAUUAAGUGCUCCAUGCUGCCUUUGUAAAAUCAAAGAUGCUUUCAAAGUACAAAUUUUCUGUGGCUCUCAUCGGCUGUAUGACGAGACUAUUGUGAUAGUACAAAACUUGUCCUUGACUCCUUGGCCAUGCUCGGAUUUUAUAAUUAAUUGUAGUAAUUGAAAAAUCCUUUCAAUUUAUUUGCUUUGUUCAACAAUUUUGAUGAAUUAAUUUCAUGACUUGUAAUCUUAUCUCUCU